GCAUGCAGGUGAGAAGGGAAGAUACGUGUAAUCUGCACGUCUGCCACCAUUCCUUGUUACUCCUUUUUCGUAUCCCAUGAGCACAGCACUCCAGCGGACCUACCCAAAAUAUAUAGGAGUUCAGUGAAACUCAAACAGCACACUUCUGGUCAGCCUAUACAGUUUCUGUCCUGGUGAGGAGCAUGGUUACCAACAGGCAAGAUCUUCUGGCCUUGAAGUUUCACUUGAGUUAAAAGAGCUCAUCUCAGGACUUUCUGAAUUUUCAGCCCAUAUGACAUGGAAGAAGAGUUAGAAGGGGAAUCUGACUGCUUGGAUCAGGGACUGUCUGGCUGGUGGAACUUGAAUAGAUGUACAGUGCACCACUUUGAGGAUCAAGUCUGACCCUGCCUUUAAAUUUGGAUUCGAAGUACUUAGAUUUUCUGGAAUCCCAUUCUACAAUCUUCUGGUCGAAAGUAUAAAACCAGCACUGGCUGGCUUGAGAAAUAAAGGGACAGAGUACAAAAGAGAGAAAUUUUAAAGCUGGGCAUCUGGGAGGAGACAUCACAUGUCG
rnacentral:antisense_RNA from 1 species